rnacentral:rRNA from 1 species
UACGGAGGGGGCUAGCGUUGUUCGGAAUUACUGGGCGUAAAGGGCGCGUAGGUGGCCAACUAAGUCAGACGUGAAAUCCCUCGGCUUAACCGGGGAACUGCGUCUGAUACUGGAUGGCUUGAGUUUGGGAGAGGGACGCGGAAUUCCAGGUGUAGCGGUGAAAUGCGUAGAUAUCUGGAGGAACACCGGUGGCGAAGGCGGCGUCCUGGACCAACACUGACACUGAGG